UACGUAGGGGGCUAGCGUUGUCCGGAAUCAUUGGGCGUAAAGCGCGUGUAGGCGGCCCGGUAAGUCCGCUGUGAAAGUCGGGGGCUCAACCCUCGGAUGCCGGUGGAUACUGUCGGGCUAGAGUGCGGAAGAGGCGAGUGGAAUUCCUGGUGUAGCGGUGAAAUGCGCAGAUAUCAGGAGGAACACCAAUUGCGAAGGCAGCUCGCUGGGACGUAACUGACGCUGAGACGCGAAAGCGUGGGUAGCAAACAGG
rnacentral:rRNA from 1 species